AUCGUUACAAUAAGGGAAAUGAACUACUAACCUUUUCCUACAUCCUAUUAUAGAGUGGAAGGUGAGAUGUGGCAUAGUGAAGGAACCUCUAGGGCUAGCACAAAGAGGGGAGAGAGAGAGAUGAGGGGAAGGAGAGAGAAAGAGGAAGAAAAGAAGAAGAGAGGAAGAGAGAGUGUGAGUGAGAGAGGGUGCAUGUGAUGAGUGAAAGAGGGUCGGAGCGGGGGUGUGUGAGGGCUAGAAAGAAAGUGUGAG
rnacentral:lncRNA from 1 species